UACGGGGGGAGCAAGCGUUGGUCGGAUUUACUGGGCGUAAAGGGCGCGUAGGCGGCGUGACAAGUCACUUGUGAAAUCUCCGGGCUUAACUCGGAACGGUCAAGUGAUACUGUCGUGCUAGAGUACAGAAGGGGCAGCUGGAAUUCUCGGUGUAGCGGUGAAAUGCGUAGAUAUCGAGAGGAACACCUGCGGCGAAGGCGGGUUGCUGGGCUGAUACUGACGCUGAGGCGCGAAAGCUAGGGGGAGCGAACGGGG
rnacentral:rRNA from 1 species